CAAAACCACCCACUGGUGCAUUUCUUAGAGCCUUUCUGCAUUGUUAGUUACACAUGACUGUAGCUGUGGCUUCUACCAUUAGUCACUAAGCAAGUUAUUCAUUUUGAAUUGAUUUGUAUCUCUGAAGAUGCCUCACACAGACCUGCUGCUCUUACACUGCCCAGCUGUGCCUGCUAAUCUUGUGAAGACUCAUUUGGGCUGGCACCUGUCAGAUCUCUCCAUUAUGAAGAGUUGA
rnacentral:lncRNA from 1 species